GGCACUAUGGCCGAGUGGUUAAGGCGAAAGACUCGAAUUGAAUAUUUGAUAUCUUUUCUCGUUUCGAGGCGCAGGUUCGAGUCCUGCUGGUGUCG